rnacentral:rRNA from 1 species
UACGGGGGGGGCAAGCGUUGUUCGGAAUUACUGGGCGUAAAGGGCUCGUAGGCGGCCAACUAAGUCAGACGUGAAAUCCCUCGGCUUAACCGGGGAACUGCGUCUGAUACUGGAUGGCUGGAGUUUGGGAGAGGGAUGCGGAAUUCCAGGUGUAGCGGUGAAAUGCGUAGAUAUCUGGAGGAACACCGGUGGCGAAGGCGGGUACCUGGACAAUUGCUGACGCUCAGGCACGAAAGCGUGGGGAGCAAAAGGG